ACUCAGGGAAACUUGAGCUAAUACCGUAUGUGCCCGAGAGGGCAAAGAUUUAUCGCCUUUGGAUGAGCCCGCGUUGGAUUAGCUAGUUGGUGGGGUAACGGCCUACCAAGGCGACGAUCCAUAGCUGAUCCGAGAGGAUGAUCAGCCACACUGGGACUGAGACACGGCCCAGACUCCUACGGGAGGCAGCAGUGGGGAAUUUUGGACAAUGGGGGCAACCCUGAUCCAGCCAUUCCGCGUGAGUGAAGAAGGCCUUCGGGUUGUAAAGCUCUUUUGUCCGGAACGAAACGGGUAGCGUGAAUAUCGCUGCCUACUGACGGUACCGGAAGAAUAAGCACCGGCUAACUACGUGCCAGCAGCCGCGGUAAUACGUAGGGUGCGAGCGUUAAUCGGAAUUACU
rnacentral:rRNA from 1 species